AAGGUGAUAUGAACCGUUAUAACCGGCGAUUUCCGAAUGGGGAAACCCAGUGUGUUUCGACACACUAUCAUUAACUGAAUCCAUAGGUUAAUGAGGCGAACCGGGGGAACUGAAACAUCUAAGUACCCCGAGGAAAAGAAAUCAACCGAGAUUCCCCCAGUAGCGGCGAGCGAACGGGGAGCAGCCCAGAGCCUGAAUCAGUAUGUGUGUUAGUGGAAGCGUCUGGAAAGGCGCGCGAUACAGGGUGACAGCCCCGUACACAAAAAUGCACAUGCUGUGAGCUCGAUGAGUAGGGCGGGACACGUGGUAUCCUGUCUGAAUAUGGGGGGACCAUCCUCCAAGGCUAAAUACUCCUGACUGACCGAUAGUGAACCAGUACCGUGAGGGAAAGGCGAAAAGAACCCCGGCGAGGGGAGUGAAAAAGAACCUGAAACCGUGUACGUACAAGCAGUGGGAGCACGCUUAGGCGUGUGACUGCGUACCUUUUGUAUAAUGGGUCAGCGACUUAUAUUCUGUAGCAAGGUUAACCGAAUAGGGGAGCCGAAGGGAAACCGAGUCUUAACUGGGCGUUAAGUUGCAGGGUAUAGACCCGAAACCCGGUGAUCUAGCCAUGGGCAGGUUGAAGGUUGGGUAACACUAACUGGAGGACCGAACCGACUAAUGUUGAAAAAUUAGCGGAUGACUUGUGGCUGGGGGUGAAAGGCCAAUCAAACCGGGAGAUAGCUGGUUCUCCCCGAAAGCUAUUUAGGUAGCGCCUCGUGAAUUCAUCUCCGGGGGUAGAGCACUGUUUCGGCAAGGGGGUCAUCCCGACUUACCAACCCGAUGCAAACUGCGAAUACCGGAGAAUGUUAUCACGGGAGACACACGGCGGGUGCUAACGUCCGUCGUGAAGAGGGAAACAACCCAGACCGCCAGCUAAGGUCCCAAAGUCAUGGUUAAGUGGGAAACGAUGUGGGAAGGCCCAGACAGCCAGGAUGUUGGCUUAGAAGCAGCCAUCAUUUAAAGAAAGCGUAAUAGCUCACUGGUCGAGUCGGCCUGCGCGGAAGAUGUAACGGGGCUAAACCAUGCAC
rnacentral:rRNA from 1 species